GACAAAGCGCAAAUAGAGAAGAGUACAUCAUAGCUGCCCCACACAGAGAACUCCGUGAAGCUGAGAAGGAGCUGGGAAGCAUGAUGGAACCAAGCCUCUUAGCUCUGCACCGGAUUCCCUCGGAUGGUGGUGCAGCGAACUUCUCCCGUUACAGAGAAGGGUGAAUGAUCACCCGCUAAGGUUCAUCUGGCAACAGAUGAAUGAACUGAGGUGGCAACGCGGAGUAAAUCCCGUCCUCAAG
rnacentral:ncRNA from 1 species